UGUAUUCACGACUGUAAGUCGCUCUGGAUAAGAACGUCUGCUAAAUGACUAAAA
rfam:Salmo salar isolate Sally breed double haploid chromosome ssa11, whole genome shotgun sequence.